rnacentral:rRNA from 1 species
GAUGAACGCUGGCGGCGUGCCUAAUACAUGCAAGUCGAGCGAACAGACGAGGAGCUUACUCCUCUGACGUUAGCGGCGGACGGGUGAGUAACACGUGGAUAACCUACCUAUAAGACUGGGAUAACUUCGGGAAACCGGAGCUAAUACUGGAUAACAUGUUGAACCGCAUGGUUCAACAGUGAAAGACGGUCUUGCUGUCACUUAUAGAUGGAUCCGCGUCGCAUUAGCUAGUUGGUAAGGUAACGGCUUACCAAGGCAACGAUGCGUAGCCGACCUGAGAGGGUGAUCGGCCACACUGGAACUGAGACACGGUCCAGACUCCUACGGGAGGCAGCAGUAGGGAAUCUUGCACAAUGGGCGAAAGCCUGACGGAGCAACGCCGCGUGAGUGAAGAAGGUCUUCGGAUCGUAAAACUCUGUUAUUAGGGAAGAACAGAUGUGUAAGUAACUAUGCCCGUCUUGACGGUACCUAAUCAGAAAGCCACGGCUAACUACGUG